rnacentral:rRNA from 1 species
AUUGAACGCUGGCGGCAUGCCUUACACAUGCAAGUCGAACGGUAACAGGUCUUCGGAUGCUGACGAGUGGCGAACGGGUGCGUAAUACAUCGGAACGUGCCCAGACGUGGGGGAUAACGAGGCGAAAGCUUUGCUAAUACCGCAUACGAUCUAAGGAUGAAAGCAGGGGACCGCAAGGCCUUGUGCGUUUGGAGCGGCCGAUGGCAGAUUAGGUAGUUGGUGGGAUAAAAGCUUACCAAGCCGACGAUCUGUAGCUGGUCUGAGAGGACGACCAGCCACACUGGGACUGAGACACGGCCCAGACUCCUACGGGAGGCAGCAGUGGGGAAUUUUGGACAAUGGGCGAAAGCCUGAUCCAGCAAUGCCGCGUGCAGGAUGAAGGCCUUCGGGUUGUAAACUGCUUUUGUACGGAACGAAAAGGCUCUGGCUAAUACCUGGGGCACAUGACGGUACCGUAAGAAUAAGCACCGGCUAACUACGUG